rnacentral:rRNA from 1 species
GACGGAGGGUGCUAGCGUUGUUCGGAAUGACUGGGCGUAAAGCGCGUGUAGGCGGCCCACUAAGUCUGAUGUGAAAGCCCGGGGCUCACCCCCGGAAGUGCAUUGGAAACUGGUGGACUCGAGUCCCGGAGAGGAGAGUGGAAUUCCUGGUGUAGCGGUGAAAUGCGUAGAUAUCAGGAGGAACACCGGUGGCGAAGGCGGCUCUCUGGACGGUGACUGACGCUGAGACGCGAAAGCGUGGGGAGCAAACAGG